CCUACGGGAGGCAGCAGUGGGGAAUAUUGCGCAAUGGGCGAAAGCCUGACGCAGCGACGCAGCGUGAGGGACGAAGGCCUUCGGGUUGUAAACCUCUUUCAGCGGGGACGAAGCGAAAGUGACGGUACCCGCAGAAGAAGCACCGGCUAACUACGUGCCAGCAGCCGCGGUAAUACGUAGGGUGCAAGCAUUGUCCGGAUUUAUUGGGCGUAAAGAGCUCGUAGGCGGCUUGUCACGUCGGAUGUGAAAACUCGGGGCUCAACCCCGAGCCUGCAUUCGAUACGGGCUAGCUAGAGUGUUGCAGGGGAGACUGGAAUUCCUGGUGUAGCGGUGAAAUGCGCAGAUAUCAGGAGGAACACCGGUGGCGAAGGCGGGUCUCUGGGCAACUACUGACGCUGAGGAGCGAAAGCGUGGGGAGCGAACAGGAUUAGAUACCCUGGUAGUCCACGCCGUAAACGGUGGGCGCUAGGUGUGGGGAACCUUCCACGUUCUCUGUGCCGUAGCUAACGCAUUAAGCGCCCCGCCUGGGGAGUACGGCCGCAAGGCUAAAACGUCCAAAAGUAGUAAGUCGGACCGUGAGACGUACGCGACGAGACCACGACGGAGGGUAGG
rnacentral:rRNA from 1 species